CAGGGAGACACAAAACUGAUCAUGAUGUCUGAGUAUUUAUUCUUAGGCCUUGAUCCUGUCACCUUAGGUCGAUCGGUACCUCAGAUUAAUGACUAUCAAAAACUAUUUAUAUUAGUUUUGUCUUUGAUUUCAGUUCCUAAACUUGUCUAGGUCACACCCCACAAGGGUUACUCCUGGGCCAUUAGCUCAGGUGGUUAGAGCGCACCCCUGAUAAGGGUGAGGUCCCUGGUUCAAGUCCGGGAUGGCCCAUUCGGUGUUGGGGGUAUAGCUCAGUUGGUAGAGCGCCUGCUUUGCAAGCAGGAUGUCAGCGGUUCGAGUCCGCUUACCUCCACUGACCUCCCCCUUUUGUACCAAAAUGGAGAGAACCUUGUGUGAUGUGAUUUAGAUAUUCCGCUGAUUGAACCUAGCUUCUUAUCAUCCCAUUUCUAAUUUUUAACUUAGAAAAUGGUUGACAGGAUGCUGGGCUCAUAAGGACUUUAGUCUUUAUUAAGUUCGGCAGAACCUUGACAACUGCAUAGGUGAGUCUGGAAAAGAAAAAAGCAUCUCAUGGAUGCAUGAUUCUUGGGAAUCAGCUAAUGCAAUCUGCGUCAGUAGAGAGCUGAGGUUGAGGAACGAGAAUGAUGUUUGAUUCUUGAGUCAAGAGCCGAGACUCUAUAGCGUUCUUUCGAUGUCAUCGAGGCAUCGAGAGUUUGAUUGGUCAUUCAAACCAUCUUCAAUGACAAGCAAUUCAGUUUAACUGGAGAAGUUUGAGAUUGAAGCCAGGUGAAUUGCUAAGAAUACGUAUUCAACUACGUGAAGCGUUAUAGAGAUUAAUU
rnacentral:tRNA from 1 species